rnacentral:rRNA from 1 species
UACGAAGGGGGCUAGCGUUGCUCGGAAUCACUGGGCGUAAAGGGCGCGUAGGCGGCCUGGCAAGUGGAAGGUGAAAUCCCUCGGCUUAACCGAGGAACUGCCCUCCAAACUGCUUGGCUUGAGUCCGGGAGAGGUGAGUGGAAUUCCCAGUGUAGCGGUGAAAUGCGUAGAUAUUGGGAGGAACACCAGUGGCGAAGGCGGCUCACUGGACCGGAACUGACGCUGAGGCGCGAAAGCGUGGGGAGCAAACGGG